GGAUUCCGUGCUGCCCUCUUCGAAUGGGGAGCACCCGGUGAAGGAGGCCAUGGGGAGUGCUGCUGACCAAGAGGUUCUCCGGUGCGCGGCGGGGGGAGCUAUUUUUCGUGUGCGUCGAGGACAUGGCCGUCGUUCGGGGUAUGCCUUCUAUAUUCCAUAGCUUUCCUUGCUUUGGUCAGUCCCGUUUUGUAGAUCCCAUGUGUUUGUUGAGGUUGUUGUCGCCGCUAAUUUCGUCAGAGGGGCGAGAGGGGAUUAGAUCUGUGAAGUACGUUGUUGUUUGCUAUGUGCUUCUGGGCAGAGUAUGGUUGUUUGUGUGUGUGUGUUCUGUCUGAAUUUGGAAAGUACAAUUUAGGCAGAAGUUGUUUCUGUUUGGUAGGAUUUUUGGCUGUUGUAGCGUUACCAUUAGUUUGAUUUUGUUCUCACGGCUUGAACAAAGCUAGGUUUUAGUUAUGCACAUGGUAGCUUCUCCUAAUUGGGUGUUCAUUAGAUAAUGUCUAUGUUUUCAUGUGCUAACAGCAAGUUUUAUGUGCCCUGUUUAACGUUGCUCUUGUAGUUAAUUUGAGAUUAUUUUAGCUGUGUUCUUCCCAUGAAUUCACAUGAAAAUACUCUCCCUGAUUAGCCCAAUUAUUUUAGUUAUGUUCUAUUUUUUGCUUCAUGCCAUUUUUUGUGCUCACAUCUGAUGAGCCGUGUAUGGUUUGAUGCUUGUUUUUUGAGCUCCCCUUAGUUUGGGUUCAUUUCAUAUUUCACUUAUCUUACUUUUCUAAGUUCUGCUUGCCGUGUCCCUCACCACUUAUAUUGGUCUGUCCAUUUACCAAAUCAGUAAUGACAGCUAGCUAUUGUAUAUGCACGGUGGGCUAGUGUAUAUUCAUUCGUCUCAGUUUCAUCGGCCAGCAUCUUAAUUAGACUUGCGUUUAGUUUUGAUUCAUGGUCUGUAAUCUGAACUGUCUGCUCACAGCUUGAAAUCUUGAAUCGGUUAGGUGUUUUUGCUGGCUUGUUUCUUCCUUCAGAAUUGUCCCGCUGAGGGAGCUUUACAUGUAUCUGAAAUUCCGAAUGGCCCUUAGGCUGGUGUGGUUGUAUAAGUCAGUGAAUAGUUCAGUUAGGGGUUUUGCAAUUGCUCUAUUAUCACUUUCUAGUAGAUAACUGCUUUUUAUGAGAUGUAUGGACAAGGCUAGCCUUCAGGUCCAUGUAAUGACAAGCAAUUGGUCUAUAACUUAACCUGCAAAGUCACCUUUGAGUAUGGUUCAUAACUUAACCUAGAAAGUCACCUUUGAGUAUGGUUCAUCGCAUGAUAUAUGUACUGCCCUUUGUAGUUAUUUUUCUGUAUACACUCCGUAAUGACCUAAUCUUUCAUUACCUAAGUUUUAAAUUUUCCUGUUUUUAAUUUGUUCAGUUCUUAUGUAAUGUGCUUCUGAUUUUUAUUUCGUUCUUCUGAUAUUUCUUGUUCAUUUCAUUUCUUUUUAUUUUUGGGUAGGGGUAACUCCGCUUACCAUUCAUUAUGGUAGCCGGUUUCAAGCCCGGAUAAAGGAGGAGGUUCCCUUUUUUUCUUAAUCUUUCAGUCACUCAGUUUUCAUUCUUCGCCGUUCGUAUUUAUGUCUCUCAGUUAUUCUUCUCUCAGAUAAUUGUUGUCAUCUCCUUUGUUCUCAGUGUAGAGUCAUCAGGUCUCAUUUAUUGUUCUCUCAGAUUAUUGUUCUCAGUUUUGAAUCUUUUUUUGCUGAGUUAUUCUUCUCUCAGAUUAUUCAUGCCUCAGUCUUAUGCUUCCAUCUUUAUUUUCAGUGUUAGUCUCUUAGUUUAUUAUUCAGCACUCUUCAUUUCAUAUUAGUUAUUCAGUCAUCUUAAUUCCUGACCUUGCAGUUCAGUGUUUCAAUCUAUCAUGUUCAUGUCAUUUAAUUCUCUCAGUCUCUCAGUGCUCUCUAUCUCUCCGUUCAAAUGUGCCCAGUUUCAUGUUCAGUAUUUAGUUCAGUUCUAGUUACUCUUUCUUCAUUGUUUAUUUUUCAGAGUUCACUUCAGCCAUUAUCUUUUCUUCAUUUUCUAUGUACUGCAGUUUGAGUUUAUCAUAUUAGUUUCUUAGUUUAUUCACUGAGUUUAUCAUCUUUAUUUACUUAGUAUCUUCAUUUGCUUCUUUUGAUCAGUUCCCUACAUUUUAUCUCAUUUAUGCUUCUAGUGUGUACUUGUCCACUUCAUUUUGUCAGUUAUUAUCUUCACUUAGUACCUCAGUUAUAGAAUGCAGUAAGAGAUGUUACAUUUUGAGCCUUAGUUUUCAGUUUUAGUCUAAACUAUUCACUUUGUCACUUCAGUUUCUUCUAGUGUGUACUUGUCCACAUCAUUUGGUCAGUUACUAUCUUCACUUAGUAUUUUAGUUUGCAUCAGUUAUAAUAUCUCAUUUCUAGUCUCUGUCUUCAUUUUCUACUUUUGAUCAGUUAUAAUAUCUCAUUUAUGAUUCUCUCAGUCUUUCUCUCAGUCUUUGUUUUUUAUUCAUGUUCUCCACGAACUCUUCAUUCUUUAGUCAUUCAGUUUGAUAUUAUAUACUCUUUAUUCAGUCUACAAUUAAUUUUCACAUUUGUAUUCCUAGAUGUCGAGACCCAAUCCGACCUACUGACCUAGUUGCUCAUCUUCGGCCAGCUUUGUAUCAGUUGCUUUCAGCAGCCAAUGCUCUCCUAGUCCAGGCACAUCCCUAUCCGAUGCUACUUCCACCAAUAAGCAUUGUCCAUGUCCUGCAACCUCAAGUUUCAGAUCAAUACAUAGAUUGGGAGCACACCUGUGAACGAGUAUCAUCUCCAGGUUUUUCAUACAGGGGAUCUUCCUUGCUUUUCGUUUUGUUUGUGUCUUCCAUCUUAGAUCUUCUUUCACCUCCCCUCUCUAUCCUCUUCUUGAUUUGUUUUCUGUGCGAGGCAUGGAUCCGCUUGAGUUGGUGUGGGUGGUUGGGGGGUCGAACGGCGUGAGGUUGUUGGUUUCUUGAUGAAGAAGAAGAUGGGGAAUCGGGGAACUGAGUGCGCCAAGGGCUCAUUUCAGAAACUAAGUGCGUCAGGUGGUGGGAACUCAAGGGAAAACUGAGAACAGCUGGCUACAGUUCGUUGGGCAAAAAUGUGUCUGUCCACGAAUUGGAAAACAGACAGCUGCUAGUUAGUCACUCCCUUUUUUUUUGCUUCCAUGGAAUAAAUAACUUAUUAACAACGUUAAGUUCAGUUUCGCAAAAACAAUAUGUUAAGUUUAGCAGAAUUGAGUAGUCAAUGUUGCACAAUCAAGAAAAUAAUUUUGCACAAUUUGUUUAUUCUUGUAUGGGAAAUUGAUCAUUGUUAAUUUUAAAAGGCCGUUAUAACAUUU